UGUGGAAUAUUGGUCAAUGGGCGCAAGCCUGAACCAGCCAUCCCGCGUGCAGGAAGACGGCCCUAUGGGUUGUAAACUGCUUUUCCAGGGAGAGAAACCUGCGCACGUGUUGCGCAAUUGGCGGUACCCUGGGAAUAAGCAUCGGCUAACUCCGUGCCAGCAGCCGCGGUAAUACGGAGGAUGCAAGCGUUAUCCGGAUUCAUUGGGUUUAAAGGGUGCGUAGGCGGACUAUUAAGUCAGUGGUGAAAGCCUGCAGCUUAACUGCAGAACUGCCAUUGAUACUGCUAGUCUUGAGUUUGGUUAAGGUAGGCGGAAUGUGUAAUGUAGCGGUGAAAUGCUUAGAUAUUACACAGAACACCAAUUGCGGAGGCAGCUUACUGAGCCGACACUGACGCUGAGGCACGAAAGCGUGGGGAUCGAACAG
rnacentral:rRNA from 1 species